GUGUUUGUGGCUGAAAAAGGAGGGAGAAAAAGGAGAGAGUUGCAGACAGCUUGAUGAAGGAGCGGGGUGUGGCUUGAUCGUAAAGGUUGCUUGAGGGAGAGGAGAACUUAAGGAAAUCGGUUAAGCAUUAGAGGGAGCGGGGAAAGAUAGCAUCGAAAAACAAAGGGAGGUGGCCGGAGCUGAAAGGACAAGAGAUCUAAGAGGGGCACUAGCAGGUCGUCGGUGGUUGUAUCUGGAGGAGGGAUAGCUUAGAGAAAAAGAGAAUAGUUGGAGGAAGGACCUUUUUCCGGUCAAUAUGACAGAAAAAAGACUAGGCAGUAGCUUUCCAAAAUGGGAGCUCAGGCUCUAGUUAUGUUGACCCGUGUUACCCUAGGAUUGGCCACACAUUAAUGGGCUGAAGGGGGAAUGAGAGAAUGACACGUGCAAGGAGGAGGUUUUGAAUAUUUGAGAGCUGCAGGCUGUUCCAGAUAGAAUGGGCUUUGAGCAGAGAGGAGAGCUUGUGGGGAAAACAGGGGGAGACCGUUUUGGAGUCAGAGAGAGUUUGAGGAAGAAGAAAACCAGUUGAAAGAAAAAAUGAGAGAAAUACAGAGAUGAGAGGUCCUCCUGGAGAGAGCUAAAACAGGGGAAGAAAAAUGAAUUGAACAGUGAGCUUGAGAGGAGCGUGUUUGUGGCUGAAAAAGGAGGGAGAAAAAGGAGAGAGUUGCAGACAGCUUGAUGAAGGAGCGGGGUGUGGCUUGAUCAUAAAGGUUGCUUGAGGGAGAGGAGAGCUUAGGGAAAUCGGCUAAGCAUUAGAGAGAGCGGGGAAAAAUAGCAUCGAAAAACAAAGGGAGGUGGCCGGAACUGAAAGGACAAGAGAUCUAAGAGGGGCACUAGCAGGUCGUCGGUGGUUGUAUUUGGAGGAGGGAUAUCUUAGAGAAAAAGAGAAUAGUUGGAGGGAGGACCUUUUUCCGGUCAAUAUGACAGAGAAAAGACUAGGCAGUAGCUUUCAAAAAUGGGAGCUCAGGCUCUAGUUAUGUUGACCUGUGUUGCCCUAGGAUUGGCCAUUAGGAAAUCUCAUUAAUGGGCUGAAGGCGGAAUGAGAGAAUGACACGUGCCAGGAGGAGGUUUUGAAUAUUUGNNNNNNNNNNNNNNNNNNNNNNNNNNNNNNNNNNNNNNNNNNNNNNNNNNNNNNNNNNNNNNNNNNNNNNNNNNNNNNNNNNNNNNNNNNNNNNNNNNNNNNNNNNNNNNNNNNNNNNNNNNNNACUAGGCAGUAGCUUUCCAAAAUGGGAGCUCAGACUCUAGUUAUGUUGACCCGUGUUGCCCUAGGAUUGGCCACACAUUAAUGGGCUGAAGGGGGAAUAAGAGAAUGACACGUGCAAGGAGGAGGUUUUGAAUAUUUGAGAGCUGCAGGCUGUUCUAGACAGAAUGGGCUUUAGGCAGAGAGGAGAGCUUGUGGGGAAAAUAGGGGGAUACCGUUUUGGAGUCAGAGAGAGUUUGAGGAAGAAGAAAACCAGUUGAACGAGAAAAUGAGAGAGAUACAGAGAUGGGAGGCCCUCUUGGAGAGAGCUGAAACAGGGGAAGAAAAAUGAAUUGAACAGUGAGCUUGAGAGGAGCGUGUUUGUGGAUGAAAAAUGAGGGAGAAAAAAGAGUGAGUUGCAGACAGCUUGAUGAAGGAGCGGGGUGGGGCUUGAGCGUAAAGGUUGCUUGAGGGAGAGGAGAGCUUAGGGAAAUCGGCUAAACAUUAGAGGGAGCUGGGAAAGAUAGCAUUCUAAAACAAAGGGAGGUGGCCGGAGCUGAGAGGAAAAGAGAUCUUAGAGGGGCACUAGCAGGUCGUCGGUGGUUGUUGUUGGAGGAAGGAUAGCUUAGAGAAAAAGAGAAUAGUUGAAAGGAGGACCUUUUUCCGGUCAAUAUGACAGAAAAAAGACUAGGCAGUAGCUUUCCAAAAUGGGAGCUCAGGCUCUAGUUAUGCUAACCCGUGUUGCCCUAGGAUUGGCCAUUAGGAAAUCACAUUAAUGGGCAAAAGGGGGAAUAAGAGAAUGACACGUGCAAGGAGGAGGUUUUGAAUAUUUGUGAGGUGCAGGCUGUUCCAGACAGAAUGGGCUUUGAGCAGAGAGGAGAGCCUGUGGGGAAAACAGGGGGAGACGUUUUGGAGUCAGAGAGAGUUCAAGGAAGAAGAAAACUAGUUGAACGAGAAAAUGAGAGAGAUACAGAGAUGAGAGGUCCUCCUGGAGAGAGCUGAAACUGGGGAGGAAAAAUGAAUUGAACAGUGAGCUUGAGAGAAGCGUGUUUGUGGCUAAAAAAUGAGGGAGAAAAAGGAGAGAGUUGCAGACAGCUUGAUGAAGGAGCGGGGUGUGGCUUGAGCGUAAAGAUUGCUUGAGGGAGAGGAGAGCUUAGGGAAAUCGGCUAACCAUUAGAGGGAGUUGGGAAAGGUUGCAUUCUAAAACAAAGGGAGGUGGCCGGAGCUGAGAGGAAAAGAGAUCUGAGAGGGGCACUAGCAGGUCGUCGGUGGGUGUUGCUGGGGAAGGGAUAGCUUAGAGAAAAAGAGAAUAGUUGGAGGGAGGACCUUUUCCCGGUCAAUAUGACAGAAAAAAGACUAGGCAGUAACUUUACAAAAUGGGAGCUCAGGCUCUAGUUAUGUUGACCCGUGUUGCCCCUAGGAUUGGCUAUUAGGAAAUCACAUUAAUGGGCUGAAGUGGGAAUGAGAGAAUGACACGUGCAAGGAGGAGGUUUUAAUUCAUGGUAAGAAAAUUUAUUAAUUUCCGUCAAGGGCUUUCAUUCAACCGUUCAACUGCAGUGUCAUACCGAAAAUUCUAUUCAAUGGUCAGUAAUCAACUCGAAAUGCCUAGCAUUCCACCGUCAAUGAAUAUGAAGACAAGGGGAGUCAUAGUCACCUAGGUCGGGUGAGGCUCAUCCCAUCAUGAAGAUAUAACCUAUGCACACAAAAGUGAUCCAUACCAUCUUACAUGCAAUGAAUCUUGGAUCCCCAUAUCAUAUCUUUUUGUAGUUGCUGCCAACUCCUAAGUUACAUUCCUAAAAAAAAAAUACAAACAAGCCAACUAGACAAUGACCAUUUUAAUUUUAACGCAUCUCUAAAAAUAUUAAUGUCUUAUGUUAUGUCAGAAGGGUAAUAUAUCAAUAAUACAUCACAUAAUCAGAAAGGUAGAAAAUAAACGUUAAACAUGUAAAAUACACCUUUUAUAUCAUAUUUUGUUGUAAUAAUUGCAACUCUAGGAUUACAUUCCUAAAAAAAAAAAAAAAAAAAAUUAAGAUUAAAAGCAAAUUUAAUUUUAACAAGUUUUAAAUAUAGCAAUUAAGUGGUUUUGUAUGAGACAACAAGAGAAUCACUGGGGGAAAUAUUUAGUGUCCUUUUUCCGGUCAAUAUGACAGAAAAAAGACUAGGCAAAAGCUUUCCAAAAUGGGAGCUCAGACUCUAGUUAUGUUGACCCGUGUUGCCCCUAAGAUUGGCUAUGAUGAAAUCACAUUAAUGGGCUGAAGUGGGAAUGAGAGAAUGACACGUGCAAGGAGGAGGUUUUGAUUCAUGGUAAGAAAAUUUAUUAAUUUCCUUCAAGGGCUUUCAUUCAACCGUUCAACUGCAGUGUCAUAUCGAAAAAUCUAUUCAAUGGUCAGUAAUCAACUCGAAAUGCCUGGCAUUCCACCGUCAAUGAAUAUGAAGACAAGGGGAGUCAGAGUCACCUAGGUCGAGUGAGGCUCAUCCCAUCAUGGAGAUAUAACCUAUGCACACAAAAGUGAUCCAUACUAUCUUACAUGCAAUGAAUCUUGGAUCCCCAUAUCAUAUCUCUUUGUAGUUGCUUCCAACUCCUAAGUUACAUUCCUCCAAAAAAUAAUACAAACAAGCCAACUAGACAAUGACCUUUUUAAUUUUAACGCAUCUCUAAAAAUAUUAAUGUCUUAUGUUAUGUCAGAAGGGUAAUAUAUCAAUAAUACAUCACAUAACCAGAAAGGUAGAAAAUAAACGUUAAACAUGUAAAAUACAUCUUUUAUAUCAUAUUUUGUUGUAAUAAUUGCAACUCUAGGAUUACAUUCCUAAAAAAAAAAAAAAAAAAAAUUAAGAUUAAAAGCAAAUUUAAUUUUAACAAGUUUUAAAUAUAGCAAUUAAGUGGUUUUCUAUGGGACAGCAAGAGAAUCACUGGGGGAAAUAUUUAGUGUCCUUUUUCCGGUCAAUAUGACAGAAAAAAGACUAGGCAGUAGCUUUCCAAAAUGGGAGCUCAGGCUCUAGUUAUGUUGACCCGUGUUGCCCCUAAGAUUGGCUAUGAUGAAAUCACAUUAAUGGGCUGAAGUGGGAAUGAGAGAAUGACACGUGCAAGGAGGAGGUUUUGAUUCAUGGUAAGAAAAUUUAUUAAUUUCCUUCAAGGGCUUUCAUUCAACCGUUCAACUGCAGUGUCAUACCGAAAAAUCUAUUCAAUGGUCAGUAAUCAACUCGAAAUGCCUGGCAUUCCAUCGUCAAUGAAUAUGAAGACAAGGGGAGUCAGAGUCACCUAGGUCGAGUGAGGCUCAUCCCAUCAUGGAGAUAUAACCUAUGCACACAAAAGUGAUCCAUACCAUCUUACAUGCAAUGAAUCUUGGAUCCCCAUAUCAUAUCUCUUUGUAGUUGCUGCCAACUCCUAAGUUACAUUCCUCCAAAAAAAAUUACAAACAAGCCAACUAGACAAUGACCUUUUUAAUUUUAACGCAUCUCUAAAAAUAUUAAUGUUUUAUGUUAUGUCAGAAGGGUAAUAUAUCAAUAAUACAUCACAUAACCAGAAAGGUAGAAAAUAAACGUUAAACAUGUAAAAUACACCUUUUAUAUCAUAUUUUGUUAUAAUAAUUGCAACUCUAGGAUUACAUUCCUAAAAAAAUAAAAAAAUAAAUUUAAGAUUAAAAGCAAAUUUAAUUUUAACAAGUUUUAAAUAUAGCAAUUAAGUGGUUUUCUAUGGGACAGCAAGAGAAUCACUAGGGGAAAUAUUUAGUGUCCUUUUUCCGGUCAAUAUGACAGUAAAAAGACUAGGCAGUAGCUUUCCAAAAUGGGAGCUUAGGCUCUAGUUAUGUUGACUCGUGUUGCCCCUAAGAUUGGCUAUGAUGAAAUCACAUUAAUGGGCUGAAGUGGGAAUGAGAGAAUGACACGUGCAAGGAGGAGGUUUUGAUUCAUGGUAAGAAAAUUUAUUAAUUUCCUUCAAGGGCUUUCAUUCAACCGUUCAACUGCAGUGUCAUACCGAAAAAUCUAUUCAAUGGUUAGUAAUCAACUCGAAAUGCCUGGCAUUCCACCGUCAAUGAAUAUGAAGACAAGGGGAGUCAGAGUCACCUAGGUCGAGUGAGGCUCAUCCCAUCAUGGAGAUAUAACCUAUGCACACAAAAGUGAUCCAUACCAUCUUACAUGCAAUGAAUCUUGGAUCCCCAUAUCAUAUCUCUUUGUAGUUGCUGCCAACUCCUAAGUUACAUUCCUCCAAAAAAAAUUACAAACAAGCCAACUAGACAAUGACCUUUUUAAUUUUAACGCAUCUCUAAAAAUAUUAAUGUCUUAUGUUAUGUCAGAAGGGUAAUAUAUCAAUAAUACAUCACAUAACCAGAAAGGUAGAAAAUAAACGUUAAACAUGUAAAAUACAUCUUUUAUAUCAUAUUUUGUUGUAAUAAUUGCAACUCUAGGGAUUACAUCCCUAAAAAAAAAAAAANNNNNNNNNNNNNNNNNNNNNNNNNNNNNNNNNNNNNNNNNNNNNNNNNNNNNNNNNNNNNNNNNNNNNNNNNNNNNNNNNNNNNNNNNNNNNNNNNNNNUAGGCAGUAGCUUUCCAAAUGGGAGCUUAGGCCUCUAGUUAUUGUUGACUCCGUGUUGCCCUAAGAUUGGCUAUGAUGAAAUCACAUUAAUGGGCUGAAGUGGGAAUGAGAGAAUGACACGUGCAAGGAGGAGGUUUUGAUUCAUGGUAAGAAAAUUUAUUAAUUUCCUUCAAGGGCUUUCAUUCAACCGUUCAACUGCAGUGUCAUACCGAAAAAUCUAUUCAAUGGUUAGUAAUCAACUCGAAAUGCCUGGCAUUCCACCGUCAAUGAAUAUGAAGACAAGGGGAGUCAGAGUCACCUAGGUCGAGUGAGGCUCAUCCCAUCAUGGAGAUAUAACCUAUGCACACAAAAGUGAUCCAUACCAUCUUACAUGCAAUGAAUCUUGGAUCCCCAUAUCAUAUCUCUUUGUAGUUGCUGCCAACUCCUAAGUUACAUUCCUCCAAAAAAUAAUACAAACAAGCCAACUAGACAAUGACCUUUUUAAUUUUAACGCAUCUCUAAAAAUAUUAAUGUCUUAUGUUAUGUCAGAAGGGUAAUAUAUCAAUAAUACAUCACAUAACCCGAAAGGUAGAAAAUAAACGUUAAACAUGUAAAAUACACCUUUUAUGUCAUAUUUUGUUGUAAUAAUUGCAACUCUAGGAUUACAUUCCUAAAAAAAAAAAAAAAAAAAAAAAAAAUUAAGAUUAAAAGCAAAUUUAAUUUUAACAAGUUUUAAAUAUAGCAAUUAAGUGGUUUUGUAUGGGACAGCAAGAGAAUCACUGGGGGAAAUAUUUAGUGUCCUUUUUCCGGUCAAUAUGACAGAAAAAAGACUAGGCAAUAUCUUUCCAAAAUGGGAGCUCAGGCUCUAGUUAUGUUGACCCGUGUUGCCCCUAAGAUUUGCUAUGAUGAAAUCACAUUAAUGGGUUGAAGUGGGAAUGAGAGAAUGACACGUGCAAGGAGGAGGUUUUGAUUCAUGGUAAGAAAAUUUAUUAAUUUCCUUCAAGGGCUUUCAUUCAACCGUUCAACUGUAGUGUCAUACCGAAAAAUCUAUUCAAUGGUCAGUAAUCAACUCGAAAUGCCUAGCAUUCCACUGUCAAUGAAUAUGAAGACAAGGGGAGUAAGAGUCACCUAGGUCGAGUGAGGCUCAUCCCAUUAUGGAGAUAUAACCUAUGCACACAAAAGUGAUCCAUACCAUCUUACAUGCAAUGAAUCUUGGAUCCCCAUAUCAUAUCUCUUUGUAGUUGCUGCCAACUCCUAAGUUAUAUUCCUCCAAAAAAUAAUACAAACAAGCCAACUAGACAAUGACCUUUUUAAUUUUAACGUAUCUCUAAAAAUAUUAAUGUCUUAUGUUAUGUCAGAAGGGUAAUAUAUCAAUAAUACAUCACAUAACCAGAAAGGUAGAAAAUAAACGUUAAACAUGUAAAAUACACCUUUUAUAUCAUAUUUUGUUGUAAUAAUUGCAACUCUAGGAUUACAUUCCUAAAAAAAAAAAAAAAAAAAAAAAAAAAAUUAAGAUUAAAAGCAAAUUUAAUUUUAACAAGUUUUAAAUAUAGCAAUUAAGAGGUUUUGUAUGGGACAGCAAGAGAAUCAGUGGGGGAAAUAUUUAGUGUCCUUUUUCCGGUCAAUAUGAGAGAAAAAAGACUAGGCAAUAGCUUUCCAAAAUGGGAGCUCAGGCUCUUGUUAUGUUGACCCGUGUUGCCCCUAAGAUUGGCUAUGAUGAAAUCACAUUAAUGGGCUGAAGUGGGAAUGAGAGAAUGACACGUGCAAGGAGGAGGUUUUGAUUCAUGGUAAGAAAAUUUAUUAAUUUCCUUCAAGGGCUUUCAUUCAACCGUUCAACUGCAGUGUCAUACCGAAAAAUCUAUUCAAUGGUCAGUAAUCAACUCGAAAUGCCUGGCAUUCCACCGUCAAUGAAUAUGAAGACAAGGGGAGUCAGAGUCACCUAGGUCGAGUGAGGCUCAUCCCAUCAUGGAGAUAUAACCUAUGCACACAAAAGUGAUCCAUACCAUCUUACAUGCAAUGAAUCUUGGAUCCCCAUAUCAUAUCUCUUUGUAGUUGCUGCCAACUCCUAAGUUACAUUCCUCCAAAAAAAAAUACAAACAAGCCAACUAGACAAUGACCUUUUUAAUUUUAACGCAUCUCUAAAAAUAUUAAUGUCUUAUGUUAUGUCAGAAGGGUAAUAUAUCAAUAAUACAUCACAUAACCAGAAAGGUAGAAAAUAAACGUUAAACAUGUAAAAUACACCUUUUAUAUCAUAUUUUGUUAUAAUAAUUGCAACUCUAGGAUUACAUUCCUAAAAAAUAAAAAAAUAAAUUUAAGAUUAAAAGCAAAUUUAAUUUUAACAAGUUUUAAAUAUAGCAAUUAAGUAGUUUUGUAUGGGACAGCAAGAGAAUCACUGGGGGAAAUAUUUAGUGUCCUUUUUCCGGUCAAUAUGACAGAAAAAAGACUAGGCAAUAUCUUUCCAAAAUGGGAGCUCAGGCUCUAGUUAUGUUGACCCGUGUUGCCCUAGGAUUGGCCAUUAGUAAAUCACAUUAAUGGGCUGAAGGGGGGAAUGAGAGAAUGACACGUGCAAGGAGGAGGUUUUGAAUAUUUGAGAGAUGCAGGCUGUUCCAGACAGAAUGGGCUUUAGGCAGAGAGGAGAGCCUGUGGGGAAAACAGGGGGAGACGUUUUAGAGUCAGAGAGAGUUUAAGGAAGAAGAAAACCAGUUGAAUGAGAAAAUGAGAGAGAUACAGAGAUGAGAGGUCCUCCUGGAGAGAGCUGAAACUGGGGAGGAAAAAGUGAAUUGAACAGUGAGUUUGAGAGGAGCGUGUUUGUGGCUGAAAAAUGAUGGAGAAAAAGGAGAGAGUUACAGAUAGCUUGAUGAAGGAGCGGGGUGUGGCUUGAGCGUAAAGGUUGCUUGAGGGAGAGGAGAGCUUAGGGAGAACUUAGGGAGAGGAGAGCUUAGAGGGAGCUGGGAAAGGUAGCAUUCUAAAACAAAGGGAGGUGGUCGGAGCUGAGAGGAAAAGAGAUCUGAGAGGGGCACUAGCAGGUCAUCGGUGGGUGUUGCUGGGGGAGGGAUAGCUUAGAGAAAAAGAGAAUAGUUGGAGGGAGGACCUUUUCCCGGUCAAUAUGACAGAAAAAAGACUAGGCAGUAGCUUUCCAAAAUGGGAGCUCAGGCUCUAGUUAUGUUGACCCGUGUUGCCCCUAGGAUUGGCUAUUAGGAAAUCACAUUAAUGGGCUGAAGUGGGAAUGAGAGAAUGACACGUGCAAGGAGGAGGUUUUUAUUCAUGGUAAGAAAAUUUAUUAAUUUCCUUCAAGGGCUUUCAUUCAACCGUUCAACUGCAGUGUCAUACCGAAAAUUCUAUUCAAUGGUCAGUAAUCAACUCGAAAUGCCUAGCAUUCCACCGUCAAUGAAUAUGAAGACAAGGGGAGUCAGAGUCACCUAGGUCGAGUGAGGCUCAUCCCAUCAUGAAGAUAUAACCUAUGUACACAAAAGUGAUCCAUACCAUCUUACAUGCAAGGAAUCUUGGAUCCCCAUAUCAUAUCUCUUUGUAGUUGCUGCCAACUCCUAAGUUACAUUCCUCCAAAAAAAAUUACAAACAAGCCAACUAGACAAUGACCUUUUUAAUUUUAACGCAUCUCUAAAAAUAUUAAUGUCUUAUGUUAUGUCAGAAGGGUAAUAUAUCAAUAAUACAUCACAUAACCAGAAAGGUAGAAAAUAAACAUUAAACAUGUAAAAUACACCUUUUAUAUCAUAUCUUGUUGUAAUAAUUGCAACUCUAGGAUUACUUUCCUCAGAAAAAAAAAAAAGAUUAAAAGCAAAUUUAAUUUUAACAAGUUUUAAAUAUAGCAAUUAAGUGGUUUUGUAUGGGACAGCAAGAGAAUCACUGGGGGAAAUAUUUAGUGUCCUUUUUCCGGUCAAUAUGACAAAAAAAAGACUAGGCAAAUGCUUUCCAAAAUGGGAGCUCAGACUCUAGUUAUGUUGACCCGUGUUGCCCUAGGAUUGGCCAUUAGGAAAUCACAUUAAUGAGCUGAAGGGGGAAUGAGAGAAUGACACGUGCAAGGAGGAGGUUUUGAAUAUUUGAGAGCUGCAGGCUGUUCGAGACAGAAUGGGCUUUGAGCAGAGAGGAGAGCUUGUGGGGAAAACAGGGGGAGACCGUUUUGGAGUCAGAGAGAGUUUGAGGAAGAAAAAAACAAGUUGGAAGAAAAAAUGAGAGAGAUACAGAGAUGAGAGGUCCUCCUGGAGAGAGCUAAAACAGGAGAAAGAAAAAUGAAUUGAAUAGUGAGCUUGAGAGGAGCGUGUUUGUGGCUGAAAAAGGAGGGAGAAAAAGGAGAGAGUUGCAGACAGCUUGAUGAAGGAGCGUGGUGUGGCUUGAUCGUAUAGGUUGCUUGAGGGAGAGGAGAGCUUAGGGAAAUCGGCUAAGCAUUAGAGGGAGCGGGGAAAGAUAGCAUCGAAAAACAAAGGGAGGUGGCCGGAGCUGAAAGGACAAGAGUUCUAAGAGGGGCACAAGCAGGUCGUAGGUGGUUGUAUCUGGAGGAGGGAUAGCUUAGAGAAAAAGAGAAUAGUUGGAGGGAGGACCUUUUUUCAGUCAAUAUGACAGAAAAAAGACUAGGCAGUAGCUUUCCAAAAUGGGAGCUCAGGCUCUAGUUAUGUUGACCCGUGUUGCCCUAGGAUUGGCCAUUAGGAAAUCACAUUAAUGGGCUGAAGGGGGAAUGAGAGAAUGAUACGUGCAAGGAGGAGGUUUUGAAUAUUUGAAAGCUGUAGGAUGUUCUAGACAUAAUGGGCUUUGAGCAGAGAGGAGAGCUUAAAGGGAAAACAGGGGGAGACCGUUUUGGAGUCAGAGAGAGUUUGAGGAAGAAGAAAACCAGUUGAAAGAGAAAAUGAGAAAGAUACAGAGAUGAGAGGUCCUCCUGGAGAGAGCUAAAACAGGGGAAGAAAAAUGAAUUGAACAGUGAGCUUGAGAGGAGUGUGUUUGUGGCUGAAAAAGGAGGGAGAAAAAGGAGAGAGUUGUAGACAGCUUGAUGAAGGAGCGGGGUGUGGCUUGAUCGUAAAGGUUGCUUGAGGGAGAGGAGAGCUUAGGGAAAUCGGCUAAGCAUUAGACGAAGCGGGGAAAGAUAGCAUCGAAAAACAAAGGGAGGUGGCCUGAGCUGAAAGGACAAAAGAUCUAAGAGGGGCACUAGUAGGUCGUCGGUGGUUGGAGGAGGGAUAGCUUAGAGAAAAAGAGAAUAGUUGGAGGAAGGACUUUUUUCCGGUCAAUAUGACAGAAAAAAGACUAGGCAGUAACUUUCCAAAAUGGGAGCUCAGGCUCUAGUUAUGUUGACCCGUGUUGCCCUAGGAUUGGCCAUUAGGAAAUCACAUUAAUGGGCUGAAGGGGGAAUGAGAGAAUGACAUGUGCAAGGAGGAGGUUUUGAAUAUUUGAGAGUUGUAGGCUGUUCCAGACAGAAUGGGCUUUGAGCAGAGAGGAAAGCUUGUGGGGAAAACAGGGGGAGAUAGUUUUGGAGUCAGAGAGAAUUUGAGGAAGAAGAAAGCCAGUUGAAAGAGAAAAUGAGAGAGAUACAGAGAUGAGAGGUCCUCCUGGAGAGAGCUGAAACAGGGGAAGAAAAAUGAAUUGAACAGUGAGCUUGAGAGGAGCGUGUUUGUGGCUGAAAAAUUAGGGAGAAAAAGGAGAGAGUUACAGACAGCUUGAUGAAGGAGCAGGGUGUGGCUUGAAGCGUGAAGGUUGCUUGAGGGAGAGGAGAGCUUAGGGAAAUCGGCUAAGCAUUAGAGGGAGCUGGGAAAGAUAGCAUCGAAAAACAAAUGGAGGUGGCCGGAGCUGAGAGGAAAAGAGAUCUGAGAGGAG
rnacentral:lncRNA from 1 species